rfam:Gossypium raimondii Chr11_contig_1485, whole genome shotgun sequence.
AAAUAAACUUGGUCAUUUCUGUUGUUAAAAACAAGCAUGGCUGACAAAAUAACAAGACAAUUACACGUGACGUGCCACGUGUACCUCAUUCUGAGGUAUAUGGACCAAUUUUUAACUGUAGAAAUAGAUGGAAUUUUUAAUA